rnacentral:rRNA from 1 species
AGCUCCAAUAGCGUAUAUUAAAGUUGUUGCGGUUAAAAAGCUCGUAGUUGGAUCUCGGCUCGCAGGGGGCGGUCCGUUAUUUGACGCGACUGCCCCAUUUGCGGGUGUUUCUUCGGCGGAACUCCCGGGGUGCUCUUCGCCGAGUGUCUCGUUGGGGGCCGCCAGGUUUACUUUGAAAAAAUUAGAGUGCUCCAAGCAGGCUCGACACGCCUGAAUAUUUGUGCAUGGAAUAAUGGAAUAGGACGUCGUUCCUAUUUUGUUGGUUUUCGGGAAUCGACGUAAUGAUUAAUAGGGACAGCCGGGGGCAUUAGUAUUCAGACGACAGAGGUGAAAUUCUUGGACCGUCUGGCGACUCACUGCUGCGAAAGCGUUUGCCAAGUAUGUUUUCAUUAAUCAAGAA